AACUACGUUGUUUAAUAUAUCAUUUCAUCCAUAUACCUAAAGUCGAUCUUGAGACUUAGUCUUCAAUUCGAUCUCAACUCGGCCUCCUCAAGCCCUCACGCCUCUUCCACCCUCUUCCACCCUCGCAGAAGACAGAGGCUCUUCCACCAUCGCAGAAGACAGAGGCUCUUCCACCACCUUCCACCCUCUUCCAGCAGUAAAGGCCGAAUGACCCAAUCGUUCUGACAGCCACUCUUAAUCUUGAGGAAAUAAGUGAAAAAAACAAAGAAAACUGUUCCAAGAAUGCGGUUCCACAUUAUUUUGGAUCGAUGUCCUUCAUCAGACGUUACGGUGCUUAUGUCAAACUCAAAGAAAGGCAGAGCCAAGAAAAUAAGGACGGUGAAAGGGAUGAGGAUCCUGCUAUUCGCUUGUACAAGGACACACAUUUUAAGGAACAAGGAGGAUGGGCACACGAGAAAGCUAAGAGAAAUUUUAGAGGGUGAGUUUGCAAACCCACCUGCUUGUAGAAGAAGCUGUGCUGCCCUUUUUGCUGUGCAAGUGAGAUAUUUUAUAAAUGUAAAUGCCUGGUUUGUAUUAUGAAUUUCUUUGAGAGGGGAGAAUGAUGAAAUGUUGAGAAAAUGACAUUUUUGUUUCUAGUUUCUAAUAUCAAAUCUUGAAUAUGUGUAAAGUAUUCAAAAUGUUUCCUUAAAGUAGAUUGCUUUCAGAUAAAAAGUGCUUACAAUUAAUAUCAGUUGUCAUUUGUCAUUGCAGU